rnacentral:lncRNA from 1 species
GGGGCAUAGGGGUCGGGCCCCGGGCGCCUGGCGGGCAGGGCGGGCGGCGGCGGCGGGAGCAGCUGCUGCGCCUCCUCGUGCGCGCGGUUGCAGCGGUUGUCGCGCUCGGCCGCCUGGCGACAGUGGCCGGCGCGCGUGCGGCCCUUCCAGAGCAGGUGGCCCAGCUCGGCCACGCUGAGCAGCGCCGAGAGCAGCCCCACGGCGAAGUAGAAGAUCACGAAGACGGUCUUCUCGGUGGGCCGGCUCACGAAGCAGUCCACCGUGUGUGGGCACGGGGCACCGGCGCACACGAAGUGCGGGGCCACGCGGAAGCCGUAGAGCAGCGCCUGGCCUGCCAGGAAGGCCAGCUCGGCCAGCAGGCGCAGCGCCACGCUCAGCAGGUAGCAGCGGCGCGCGCCGCGGCCCUCCGGGCGCCCCGGGGGCCCCAGCGACCCCGCCCCGCCGGCCGCGCCGCCCGGCUCCUUGCUGGCCCGGUGCACAGAGUAGAUGACGAAGAGCACCGGGGGCGCCGACAGCAGCAGGAUGUGGAAGAGCCAGAAGCGGUAGUGGGAGACGGGGAAGGCGCGGUCGUAGCAGGUCUGGCGACAGCCCGGCUGCAGCGUGUUGCACACAAACUCCUCCUGCUCGUCCUCGAACACGGCGCCGCCCACGGUGGCCAGCACCAGGAUGCGGAAGAUCAGCAUGACCACCAGCCACAGGCGGCCCACGAGCGGCGACUGCAGCUGCACGGCGUCCAGCAGCGAGCCGAGGAACGCCCACUCCCCCAUGGCGCUGGGGAUGGACGCGGGGCGGGCAGUCAGAGGCUGAAGGAACGGGAUCCUCAGCCCUCCGUGCCCGUCGGGGUGGAGUCAGUUGGACCUCCUCUAACUUCGAGAGCAACUUGACUGCCUGCUCUCGAGAUGUCAUUAUCAGGAGUUAUAUCUGCCCAGCCUUACACGGAUCAGCUGGUGGGCUGCAGAGCUUGUGAACUUUUUCUAUCUGGGGGUUGUAAAGACAGAAACGUAAAGACUACAAGGCUCUUCAGAAGAUGCUUUAAUGGAAAUCAUCAUCUCCUCUUUAGUCAUUCCAAGAGCAUCCACUUUGAUGUGGGUGAGAAAUAUCGCGAAGGUGAUUCUGUGUUCAACUCUAGCCACAGCUCAGCAGCUUGGCAAGCUGUCUCCUCAUUUUCC